rnacentral:rRNA from 1 species
CCUACGGGUGACAGCAGUGAGGAAUAUUGGUCAAUGGGCGAGAGCCUGAACCAGCCAAGUCGCGUGAAGGAUGACGGCCCUACGGGUUGUAAACUUCUUUUGUCAGGGAGCAAUUGAGUCCACGUGUGGGCUUAGCGAGAGUACCUGAAGAAAAAGCAGCGGCUAACUCCGUGCCAGCAGCCGCGGUAAUACGGAGGAUGCGAGCGUUAUCCGGAUUUGUUGGGGUUAAAGGGUGCGUAGGCGGAAUAUCAGGUCAGCGGUAAAAAUUCGGGGCUAAACCCCGUCGUGCCGUUGAAACUGAUGUUCUUGAGUAGGCGAGAGGUAUGCGGAAUGCGUGGUGUAGCGGUGAAAUGCAUAGAGAUCACGAAGAAUUCAGAUUGCGAAGGCAGCAUACCGGCGCCCAACUGACGCUGAAGCACGAAAGCGUGGGUAUCGAACAGGAUUAGAUACCCUGGUAGUC